ACUCAAAGGAAUAGACGGGGGCCCGCACAAGCGGUGGAACAUGUGGUUUAAUUCGACGCAACGCGAAGAACCUUACCUACCCUUGACAUGCUCGGAAUCUGCCAGAGAUGGUGGAGUGCCUUCGGGAACCGAGACACAGGUGCUGCAUGGCUGUCGUCAGCUCGUGUCGUGAGAUGUUGGGUUAAGUCCCGUAACGAGCGCAACCCCUAUUCUUAGUUGCCAACAGGUAAAGCUGGGAACUCUAAGGAGACUGCCGGUGACAAGCCGGAGGAAGGUGGGGAUGACGUCAAGUCCUCAUGGCCCUUACGGGUAGGGCAACACACGUGUUACAAUGGUCAGUACAGAGGGAAGCGAAGUCGCGAGAUGGAGCGAAUCCUUUAAAAGCUGAUCGUAGUCCGGAUUGGAGUCUGCAACUCGACUCCAUGAAGUUGGAAUCGCUAGUAAUCGCGGAUCAGAACGCCGCGGUGAAUACGUUCCCGGGCCUUGUACACACCGCCCGU
rnacentral:rRNA from 1 species